rnacentral:rRNA from 1 species
AGAGUUUGAUCCUGGCUCAGGAUGAACGCUAGCGGUGUGCCUAAUGCAUGCAAGUCGAACGGGAUCCCUUAACUUCGGUUUAGGGUGAGAGUGGCGGACGGGUGAGUAACGCGUUGGUGACCUGCCCUGAGGAGGGGGAUAACCAGUGGAAACGCUGGCUAAUACCCCGGAUGUUAUUGUGUCUGGAAAGCAAUGACUAAAGCUCCGGCGCCUCAGGAGGGGCCAGCGUCCCAUCAGCUUGUUGGUGAGGUAAUGGCUCACCAAGGCUAAGACGGGUAGGGGGCGUGAGAGCGUGACCCCCCACACUGGUACUGAAACACGGACCAGAUACCUACGGGUAGCAGCAGCAAGGAAUAUUGCACAAUGGGCGAAAGCCUGAUGCAGCAACACCGCGUGGAGGAUGAAGGCCUUCGGGUUGUAAACUCCUUUUCUGGGGGAAGAGGAAGGACGGUACCCCAGGAAUAAGGUCCGGCUAACUACGUGCCAGCAGCCGCGGUAAAACGUAGGGACCGAGCGUUAUCCGGAAUUACUGGGCGUAAAGCGCAUGCAGGCGGCUUCUUAAGUCGGACGUGAAAGCUCCUGGCUCAACUGGGAGAGGUCGUUCGAAACUAGGGAGCUUGAGGAUGGUAGAGGCGAGUGGAAUUCCCGGUGUAGUGGUGAAAUGCGCAGAUAUCGGGAGGAACACCAGUGGCGAAGGCGGCUCGCUGGGCCAUUCCUGACGCUCAGAUGCGAAAGCUAGGGGAGAGAACGGGAUUAGAAACCCCGGUAUUCCUAGCCGUAAACGAUGUCAACUAGGUGUGGUGGGUACCCAUCCCCACCGUGCUGUAGCUAACGCGUUAAGUUGACCGCCUGGGGACCACGGCCGCAAGGCUAAAACUCAAAGGAAUUGACGGGGCCCCGCACAAGCAGCGGAGCGUGUGGUUUAAUUCGAGUCUACGCGAAGAACCUUACCAGGGUUUGACAUAUGCGUGGUAAGAAACCGAAAGGUAACUGACCCUUCGGGGAGCGCAUACAGGUGCUGCAUGGCUGUCGUCAGCUCGUGCCGUGAGGUGUUCGGUUAAGUCCGAUAACGAGCGCAACCCUCGUCGUUAGUUAUACGUGUCUAGCGAGACUGCCGGUGAUAAGCCGGAGGAAGGUGGGGAUGACGUCAAGUCAGCAUGGCCUUUAUAUCCUGGGCUACGCACACGCUACAAUGGCCGGUACAAUGGGUCGCGAAGCCGCGAGGCGGAGCCAAUCCUCCAAGGCCGGUCUCAGUUCGGAUUGCAGGCUGCAACUCGCCUGCAUGAAGUCGGAGUUGCUAGUAACCGCGCGUCAGCAACAGUGCGGUGAAUACGUUCCCGGGGCUUGUACACACCGCCCGUCAC